rnacentral:rRNA from 1 species
GGGGACUGAGACACGGCCCCCACUCCUACGGGAGGCAGCAGCAGGGAAUCUUGCACAAUGGGCGAAAGCCUGAUGCAGCGACGCCGCGUGAGGGAUGAAGGUUCUAGGAUCGUAAACCUCUUUUCUUAGGGAAUAGUUUGGAAGGUACCUAAGGAAUAAGUCACGGCUAACUACGUGCCAGCAGCCGCGGUAAUACGUAGGUGGCAAAUGUUGUCCGGAAUCAUUGGGCGUAAAGGGUCCGUAGGUGGCAUAAAAAGUCUUAUGUGAAAUCUCUUGGCUCAACCAAGAAACGCCAUAAGAAACUUUCAUGCUAGAGAUCAUCAGAGGGAGGUAGAAUUCCAGGUGUAGUGGUGAAAUGCGUAGAUAUCUGGAGGAAUACCAAUGGCGAAAGCAGCCUCCUGGGGUGAAUCUGACAUUGAGGGACGAAAGCGUGGGUAGCAAACCGGAUUAGAUACCCGGGUAGUCCAUGCCGUAAACGAUGAAUACUGGGUCUUCGGGGAAUCGACCCCCUGUGGACCGAAGCUAACGCGUUAAGUAUUCCGCCUGGGGAGUACGGUCGCAAGACUAAAACUCAAAGGAAUUGACGGGGGCCCGCACAAGCAGCGGAGCGUGUGGUUUAAUUCGAUGGUAAACGAAGAACCUUACCUAGGUUUGACAUAUAAGUAGUACUGACCCGAAAGGUGAUGGACCCGCAAGGGAGCUUAUACAGGUGCUGCAUGGUUGUCGUCAGCUCGUGCCGUGAGGUGUUGGGUUAAGUCCCGCAACGAGCGCAACCCUCGUGGAUAGUUGUUUUCUUUAUCCAGACUGCUUUUACAAGAGGAAGGUGGGGAUGACGUCAAAUCAUCAUGGCUCUUACACCUAGGGCUACACACACGCUACAAUGGACAGUACAGACGGUUGCUAAGUCGCAAGAUGGAGCCAAUCCGAUAAAGCUGUCCCCAAUUGGGAUUGUAGGCUGAAACUCGCCUGCAUGAACCUGGAGUUGCUAGUAACCGCAGAUCAGAAUGCUGCGGUGAAUACGUUCCCGGGCCUUGUACACACCGCCCGUCACGUCAUGGAAGUUUGAAACACUUGAAGUCGUUGGGCUUACCUUUUAGGAGGCAGGCGCCGAGAGUGGGGCAAAUGACUGGGACGAAGUCGUAACAAGGUAGCUGUACCGGAAGGU